AUGAAGUUAAUGCAUAAGCUAAAUCAGGAUCAGAGGAUGGCUUUUGACGUUAUAAUAGAAUCAGUCAACGACAGUCUUGGGAAAUUGAUUUUUGUUGACGGAUAUGGUAGAACUGGAAAGACAUUUCUUUGGAAAGCAGUCACGACAAAAUUAAGAUCUGAAGGAAAAAUAGUUCUAGCAGUUGCUUCAAGUGGUAUAGCAGCACUUCUUUUACAGGGUGGAAGAACAGCUCAUUCAAGAUUUCACAUUCCCCUCAAGAUCACUAAUGAGUCCACAUGCAACAUCAAGCAAGGAACAUUUCUUGCGGAGCUAAUAAAGAAAAUGUCACUGAUAAUAUGGGAUGAAGCACCUAUGACACACAAGCGCUGUUUUGAGGCACUAGAUAAAAGUUUGAGAGACAUACUUCGGUUCACAUAUGAGGACGCAGAGAAUAGACCAUUUGGAGGAAUGACAGUAGUCUUGGGAGGUGACUUCAGGCAAAUCCUACCAGUUAUACCGAAGGGGAAAAGAGAACAUAUCAUUUCUGCAUCAAUAAAGAGAUCCUACCUAUGGAAGAACUUUCAGGAGUACCGACUCAAAGAAAAUAUGUGUCUGAAUUCAUCCGAAGGUAGUCCAGAAGAGAAAGCAAAAAUAGCUGAAUUCGCAAACUGGAUACUAAACAUAGGUGAUGGCACAACGUCAACAAUAGAUCAAGAGGAUUGGGUUGGCAUCCCAGAGGACCUUAUUUUACAUGAAGGGGAUGACCCGAAAGCAUCUAUUGUUAACACCACCUAUCCUGACUUACACAGAAAAUACACUGAUAGAACAUACCUAGAGGAAAGAGCGAUCUUGUGCCCAAGAAACGAGACUAUUGACCAGAUUAAUGCAUACAUCAUGAGUCAAAUCCCUGGAGAAGAGGUAACCUAUUUCAGUUCAGAUACAACAUGCAAGGCAAUGUCUACAGUGGAAGAUGAAGAUAUGUUGUACCCAACUGAGUUUCUGAAUAGUCUUACAUUUUCUGGAAUUCCAGACCAUGAACUGAGGCUGAAAGUAGGAUUACCAAUAAUGCUUAUGAGGAACAUCAAUCAAAGUGCAGGACUUUGCAAUGGGACAAGACUAACAAUAACACAGCUAGGAAAGCGUUUCAUUGAAGGACAUGUCAUAACAGGUCCUAACGUUGGUGACAAAGUUUACAUCCCACGAAUUAUCAUGUCACCAAGUGAUUCAAAAUGGCCUUUCAUUCUAAAAAGGAGACAAUACCCAAUAUCAGUGUGCUUUGCGAUGACUAUAAACAAAAGCCAGGGGCAAUCUCUCAAAAAAGUUGGACUCUACUUAGAAAGGCAAGUGUUCACACAUGGACAACUCUAUGUUGCAAUGUCAAGGGUGACCAGCAGAAAUGGAUUGAAGAUACUCAUAUCAGAUGAAGAGCGUCCAUCCGACAAGGUUGCAAAAAACAUUGUUUACAAAGAUAUAUUAUAG
rnacentral:rRNA from 1 species